GUCGGUGUCUGGUGGGAGUGUGUUUUCCUGAACACUGGCGAUGUCACCGGAUACCGGGCGCAGCUGGGAGAGGUGCGCAUGGUGUCUGGGAGACCAGUUCUAGUGUGAGGGACAAGUUCCUCUCUGCUUGGUGGUGGUUUCCUUCGGUGUGCAGUGGUCGACAGGUGGGGUUGUGGUGUUGUAUGAGUGCACUUGUGUUUGCUGUGGAUAGGAGAUCAUUAGAGUAAGGUCCCCAGCCCUGGAGUCCAAGCAUUCUUGUGUGGUAUAAUAUGGUGUGAUGUAAUUUUAAGAGUUCUUAAUAAACUGUGUGUAUUA